UACGAGGGGGGCAAGCGUUGUUCGGAAUUAUUGGGCGUAAAGGGUGCGUAGGCGGUCUGAUAAGUCAUCUGUGAAAUCUAUGGGCUCAACCCAUAGUCUGCAGGCGAAACUGUCGGGCUUGAGUAUGGGAGAGGUGAGUGGAAUUUCCGGUGUAGCGGUGAAAUGCGUAGAUAUCGGAAGGAACACCUGUGGUGAAAGCGGCUCACUGGACCAUUACUGACGCUGAUGCACGAAAGCUAGGGGAGCAAACAGG
rnacentral:rRNA from 1 species